AUUAACAAAAUAUGGCAUGAACAACUUCCAGGAAUAUCUUCGUAUGCUCAAAAUUUAACAUCCCUGGAUUUAAAGGACUGUCACGACUUGAAACGUAUAUUUGGUUACUCGAUGGUGGAAUUUUUAGUGCAACUCAAAGAGCUUUUUAUUGCUAAUUGUAAGAAUGUGGAAGAAGUAAUCUCUGUAGACGGAUUCGCGGAAGCAGAAAGCUUGAGCCAAAUAUUAUGUUUCCCUAAACUAGAAAUAUUGGUGCUCGAUGACCUUCCCAAACUCAGACGAUUCUGCUAUGGAAAUUACUUUGAAUUCCCCUUCUUGAUAGGAUUUAGAAUAAAGAAGUGUUCUGCAUUGAAGACUUUCAUCUCUGGUUUUGCAAUUGAAAAUGAAACUCAGAUUGCUCAAAGAGGCGUAGAAGAUAACAGCACAGCGGUUGAUGAUUCCCUGUCUCUCUUCAAUGAAAAGGUGGCAUUCCCAAGUUUAGAGAGAUUGACGAUCAUAGGUGGGGGAAGCUGGCGAAAUAUAUGCCAUGACCAAUUCCAUAGGGAUUCAUUUUGCAAACUAAAUCUUCUUUGGGUGCACGACUGUGAUAGACUUUUGUAUGUUUUCCCAUUUGAUAUGAGGGGACGGCUUGAAAAGCUAGAGGAGAUGGGGAUAAGCUGUUGUGAUUCCUUGGAAGAAAUAUUUGAACCUCAAGGGCUCAAUGUCAGUGAAUUACAGGCCGUGACAACCAAUCAAUCCGUUAGAUUUGUAUUUCCUAACCUACAAAUUCUACGACUUUCUAUGCUACCCAAAUUGAAGAGUUUCUGUUCCAGGAUACACACUGCAGAAUGGCCUUCAUUGAAGAAAAUGUGUGUAUAUGGAUGUGACAAAGUGGAGAUAUUUGCUUCAGAAAAUCUGAAUUUUGGAGAAACAUCAAUUAAUCAACAAUCCCUGUUUUGGGUAAAUGAGGUUACAUUCCCCAAUCUAGAAGAAUUAGAAUUGGAAUGGAAUGACACUAUGAAAGAGAUAUGGCACGGACAACUUCCCGAAAAGUUUUUUUGCAAACUUAAAGUACUUAAGCUUGUAUUUUUUCUUGAAGAAUCAGCUGCCCUCCCGCAUUGUUUCAUUCAGUCAUUACCAAAUCUUGAGAAGCUUGUAGUGAAAUGUGCGCCCUUCAAUCACAUAUUCCAAUGUGAAGGACAUGGCGACGAGGAAAGACAUGGAUUAGCAAUGACUCAGUUGAUUAAAUUAAAGUUAGUUAAACUGCCAGAGCUAGCACACAUAUGGAAGGAAGAAUUUCAGCCUAGAGCAGCUUUCUUUAACCUAAGAACUCUUGAAGUGCAGGAAUGUGGUAAAUUGAAGAAUUUAGUGCCAUCAUCUGUGUCAUUUGCAAAUUUAACAACUCUCGAAGUAUCAAAAUGUCAUGGAUUAAUAAACCUAAUAUCAAGCUCAACGGCUAAGAGCCUAAUGCAACUCACAAAAAUGAGUGUGAUUGAUUGCCUGAUGAUAGAGGAAAUAAUAGCAGCAAUGGUGAUGGCGGUGGCAUUGUUUUCGCCCAACUUAAGUUUUUGCAACUAAGUCGUUUACCAAGUCUAGCAAGCUUUUGCUUGGAAGCUCACAUCUUUGAAUUCCCAGCCUUGGAGAAAUUGGUUGUGAAAGAAUGCCCAAAUAUGGAGACUUUCUGUCAAGGAGAUUUAAGCACUCCAAAACUGCAUCAAGUCCAUUUGACAGAUGAUGAUGAAGAUGAAGAAAACGUGCGGUGGGAAGGCAACCUCCAGACUACCAUCCAAAAACUGUUCGACGAAAUGCAAAAGGGUACAGGUGGACAAUUUCCAUUGUUGGAUCCCUCAAACGAUGAACAUCUGAGAUUAGUGAUUAUCCGCCUGUUCAGGAGGAUGUGUAGAAUGGAGCGUGAAUUUCAAGUUUUUAGAGAAAAUACCAACACCAACAAUGAUAAGAUUGGACACUGGAAAUGGAUAUCUCUGUUUUUGGUGGGUGUCAUUGUGAUUAUUCUGUUUUUGGUGUGUGUUAUUGUGAUGCUGUUGUUCAGAAUGAAAUGAAGAAAUUAAAGACAUUAUGAUAGGGAGGAAACUAAGAAACUAUGAAUUUAGGUUAAAUCUAAUGCCUCUGUUUAAUGUGAUAUAGUUUUUUUUGGCUUUUAGGAUGUUUAGGUUAUGGUUUGCAUCUUUUUUUUUUAAACUAUAUCUAGGGGCAUUCAGUGUAACUAUUUAUUUUUAAGUGCAUUAGUUUAACGAUGUAAUUACCAAUAUUUUUUGCAUUCUAACCUAAUAGCAUACACCUGAUG